rfam:Bombyx mori DNA, contig: Bm_scaf12_contig9581, strain: p50T/Dazao, build 2, whole genome shotgun sequence.
UUAACUCAAACUUGUAUGGACUUGAAACGUUUGCCUACGUUUGCCGCUAGGGGCGCUGUUCCAACUGCAUACAAAUUUGAGUUA